GAUGAACGCUGGCGGCGUGCCUAAUACAUGCAAGUCGAGCGAACAGACGAGGAGCUUGCUCCUUUGACGUUAGCGGCGGACGGGUGAGUAACACGUAGGUAACCUACCUAUAAGACUGGGAUAACUUCGGGAAACCGGAGCUAAUACCGGAUAAUAUUUCGCACCGCAUGGUUCGAUAGUGCAAGAUGGCUUUGCUAUCACUUAUAGAUGGACCUGCGCCGUAUUAGCUAGUUGGUAAGGUAACGGCUUACCAAGGCAACGAUACGUAGCCGACCUGAGAGGUUGAUCGGCCACACUGGAACUGAGACACGGUCCAGACUCCUACGGGAGGCAGCAGUAGGGAAUCUUCCGCAAUGGGCGAAAGCCUGACGGAGCAACGCCGCGUGAGUGAUGAAGGUCUUCGGAUCGUAAAACCCUGUUAUUAGGGAAGAACAAACGUGUAAGUAACUGUGCACGUCUUGACGGUACCUAAUCAGAAAGCCACGGCUAACUACGUG
rnacentral:rRNA from 1 species